rnacentral:rRNA from 1 species
UACGUAGGCAGCAAGCGUUGUUCGGAAUUACUGGGCGUAAAGAGUGUGUAGGCGGUGCUCUAAGUUCGGUGUGAAAUCUCCCGGCUUAACUGGGAGGGUGCGCCGGAAACUGGAGUGCUCGAGCGUGGGAGAGGAAAGCGGAAUUCCUGGUGUAGCGGUGAAAUGCGUAGAUAUCAGGAGGAACACCUGCGGUGUAGACGGCUUUCUGGACCAUUGCUGACGCUGAGACACGAAAGCGUGGGUAGCAAACGGG